rnacentral:lncRNA from 13 species
UAUUCAGUAUAUUUUAUUAUUCUAAUCGCAUGUCUUGUUCAGCAGUUGUCCUUUCUCUAGCAUUGCUCACGUGUAUUUUUUUUUUUUUUUUUUAAUUUUCAGGAAGGUAGGGGCUUUGGGACCCAAUGGAAAGCAGAAGACGCAGUGAUCUGCCGUUUAAAUCCCUGUCUCUGAAUCUACACCCUCAGGGAAUUUCAUGAGAGAGGAAAGGCUGAGGUCAGAAUUCUUUUAUGAGAAGACUUCUUCAGUGAUGAGAGAAGUCUCCAGACUCAGAGUGAAAAUGUGGGAACGGCCUUGACAAUGAAGUAACAAACAGAUUGUUUGAUAUCUGCCAGCCUGAAUUUGGGAUAGCAGUUUAAAGGUGUUCUGUGCAAAGACCAACUGCUCAACAUAUUUUUACCAGUGGGUGUUUCAGUCUUCUUGAUGUAGAAGAAUUCUCCAGGACUUUGGGAAGCUGAUGAGAGGUACAUCCCUGACUGCUGGGACUGCUCUGGUUUCAGCUGGGUUUUGGUGCAGGCAACCCAGAGUGAUUGACAGGC